GUGCUUGCUUCGGCAGCACAUAUACUAAAAUUGGAACGAUAUAGAGAAGAUUAGCAUGGCCUCUGUGCAAGGAUGAUAUGCAAAUUCAUGAAGCAUUCCAUAUUUAA
rnacentral:snRNA from 1 species